rnacentral:tRNA from 3 species
GCCGGAGUGGUGAAACUGGUAGACGCACUGGAUUCAAAAUCCAGCGGAUGUAUGUCCAUGUCGGUUCGAUUCCGACCUCCGGCACCA